AACAAACGCUGGCGGCGUGCCUAAUACAUGCAAGUCGAACGGGGUAGCAAUACCUAGUGGCGCACGGGUGAGGAACGCGUGGAUAAUCUGCCUUAGAGUGGGGGAUAACUAGUCGAAAGAUUAGCUAAUACCGCAUAAGACCACAGGAGCUGCGGCUCUAGGGGUCAAAGGUUUUUCGCUCUAAGAUGAGUCCGCGUAAGAUUAGCUAGUUGGUGAGGUAACGGCUCACCAAGGCGACGAUCUUUAACUGGUCUGAGAGGAUGAUCAGUCACACUGGAACUGAGACACGGUCAAGACGCCUACGGAAGGAAGCAGUAGGGAAUAUUGCACAAUGGAGGAAACUCUGAUGCAGCGACGCCGCGUGAGUGAUGAAGGCCUUCGGGUCGUAAAGCUCUGUCGCAGGGGAAUAACACAAUGAAUGUACCCUGUAAGAAAGGAUCGGCUAACUUCGUGCCAGCCGCCGCGGUAAAAC
rnacentral:rRNA from 1 species